UACGGGGGGAGCAAGCGUUGUUCGGAUUUACUGGGCGUAAAGGGCGCGUAGGCGGCGUGACAAGUCACUUGUGAAAUCUCCGGGCUUAACCCGGAGCGGCCAAGUGAUACUGUCGUGCUAGAGUGCGGAAGGGGCUACUGGAAUUCUCGGUGUAGCGGUGAAAAUGCGUAGAUAUCGAGAGGAACACCUGCGGCGAAGGCGGCUUCCUGGACCAAUACUGACGAUCAGGUGCGAAAGCGUGGGGAGCAAACAGG
rnacentral:rRNA from 1 species